rnacentral:rRNA from 1 species
CCUACGGGUGGCAGCAGUGGGGAAUAUUGGGCAAUGGGCGCAAGCCUGACCCAGCAACGCCGCGUGAAGGAAGAAGGCUUUCGGGUUGUAAACUUCUUUUGUCAGGGACGAAGCAAGUGACGGUACCUGACGAAUAAGCCACGGCUAACUACGUGCCAGCAGCCGCGGGAAUACGUAGGUGGCAAGCGUUAUCCGGAUUUAUUGGGUGUAAAGGGAGUGUAGGCGGGAAUGCAAGUCAGAUGUGAAAACUAUGGGCUCAACCCAUAGCCUGCAUUUGAAACUGUAUUUCUUGAGUGCUGGAGAGGCAAUCGGAAUUCCGGGUGUAGCGGUGAAAUGCGUAGAUAUACGGAGGAACACCAGUGGCGAAGGCGGAUUGCUGGACAGUAACUGACGCUGAGGCGCGAAAGCGUGGGGAGCAAACAGGAUUAGAUACCCCUGUAGUA